GACGUAGGGCGCGAGCGUUGUCCGGAUUUAUUGGGCGUAAAGAGCUCGUAGGCGGCUUGUCGCGUCGGCUGUGAAAUCCCGGAGCUCAACUCCGGGUCUGCAGUCGAUACGGGCGGACUUGAGUACUGCAGGGGAGACUGGAAUUCCUGGUGUAGCGGUGGAAUGCGCAGAUAUCAGGAGGAACACCGAUGGCGAAGGCAGAUCUCUGGGCCGUAACUGACGCUGAGGAGCGAAAGCGUGGGGAGCGAACAGG
rnacentral:rRNA from 1 species